UUUAAUUCGAUGAUACGCGAGGAACCUUACCAAAACUUAAAUGGGAAUUGACAGCUUUAGAAAUAGAGCUUUCUUCGGACAAUUUUCAAGGUGCUGCAUGGUUGUCGUCAGCUCGUGCCGUGAGGUGUUAGGUUAAGUCCUGCAACGAGCGCAACCCCUGUCACUAGUUGCCAUCAUUCAGUUGGGGACUCUAGUGAGACUGCCUACGCAAGUAGAGAGGAAGGUGGGGAUGACGUCAAAUCAUCACGGCCCUUACGUCUUGGGCCACACACGUAAUACAAUGGCCGGUACAGAGGGCAGCUACACAGCGAUGUGAUGCAAAUCUCGAAAGCCGGUCUCAGUUCGGAUUGGAGUCUGCAACUCGACUCUAUGAAGCUGGAAUCGCUAGUAAUCGCGCAUCAGCCAUGGCG
rnacentral:rRNA from 1 species